UAAUUUGAUAGGGAUUGCAUUGAAUCUGUACAUUGCUUUGGGUAGUGUGGCCAUUUUUACAAUAUUAAUUUUUCCAACCCAGGAGCAUGGGAUAUCUUUCUAUUUCUUUGAAUAUCUUUGAAUUUCUUUGAAUUUCCUUGAUUGAUGUUUUAUAGUUCUCAGCAUAUAAGUCUUUUACCUCCUUAUUCAGGUUUAUUCCUAGGUGUUUAAUUAUUUGGUGUGUGAUUUUAAAAUGUAUUGUAUUUUUUUUUUGUCUUUUUGCUAUUUCUUUGGGCUGCUCCUGCUGCAUAUGGAGGUUCCCAGGCUAGGGGUUGAAUCGGAGCUGCAGCCACUGGCCUACGCCAGAGCCACAGCAACACAGGAUCCGAGCUGCGUCUGUAACCUACACCACAGCUCACGGCAACGCCGGAUCGUUAACCCACUGAGCAAGGGCAGGGACCGAACCCGCAACCUCAUGGUUUCUAGUCAGAUUCGUUAAUCACUGCGCCAUGACGGGAACUCCUGCAUUGUAUUUUUAUAUUCCUUUUCUAGUAUUUCAUUGUUAGGAUACAGAAAUGCAACUGAUUUCUGAAUGUUAAUCUUAUAUUCUGUUAUUUUGCUGAGUUGAUCAGUUCAAGUAGUUUUUGUGUGGAGUCCUUGGGGUUUUCUAUAUACAGUAUCAUGUCAUCUGCAUACAAUGACAAUUUUACCUCUUCUCUUCCAAUUUGGAUACCUUUUAUCUCUUUUCUUUGUUUGAUUGCUGUGGCUAGGACUUCCAAUACUAUGUUGAAUAAAAGUGGUCAGAGUGGGCAUCCUUGUCUUGUUCCAGAUUUUAGCAGGAAGGAUUUCAGCUUUUCUCCACUGAGUAUUAUAUUUGCUGUGGGUUUGUCAUAAAUGGCUUUAUUAUGUUAAGGUAUUUUCUCUCUAUACCCACUUUGGUAAGAGUUUUUGUUUUGUUUUUUGUUUGUUUGUUUGUUUGUUUGUUUUUAAAUCAUGAAUGGAUGUUGGACUUUGUCAGAUGCUUUCUCUGCAUUUAUUGAGAUGAUCAUUUGGCUUUUGACUUUUCUUUUGUUAAUGUGGUGUAUGAUGUUGAUUGAUUUGAGUUUUAUGUUGAGCCAUCCUUAUGAACUUGGGAUGAAUCCCACUUGGUCGUGGCGUAUGAUCUUUUUUAUAUGUUGUUAGAUUUGGUUGGCUAAAAUUUUGUUGAGAAUUUGUCUAUAUUUCUCAAGGAUAUUGACCUACAAUUUUCUUCUUUGGUAGUAUCUUUGUCUGGCUUUGGUAUUAGGGUGAUGGUGGCUUCAUAGAAUUUCUUGGGGGGUGUUCCUUCUUCUUCAACUUUUGAAAAAUUUUAAGAAGGAUUGAUAUAGGUUCCUCUUUGUAUGUUUGGUAGAAUUUGCCUGUGAAGCCGUCUGGUCCUGGACUUUUGUUUGUAGGGAGUAUUUUUAUUAUAUAUUCUAUUUCAUUUCUAGUGACAGGUCUAUUGCUUUUCAUAAUUAGAAUACACUUACCUGUCGUAUUUUCACAGGCUGGAAUAUUGCACUCAUAUUAUUAUUUUUUUCCAUUUUCUUUUCUUUUUUUUGUUUUUGUUUGUUUUGCUUUUUAGGGCCAUACCUUAGGAAUAUGGAGGUUCCCAGGCUAGGGGUCCAAUCGGAACUAUACCACAGCUGCUGGCCUACACCACAGCCACAGCAACAUGGGAUCUGAGCCACACUUGCGACCUACACCACAGCUCACAGCAACGCCGGAUCCUUAACCCACUGAACAAGGCUAGGGAUUGAAUUGCAACCUCAUGGUUCCUAGUUGGACUCAUUUCCACUGAGCCACGAUGGGAACUCUAUCCAUUUUCCUUUAAAAUAUUCCUUUUAUUAAGUUUCUAGGCCUGCACAAGUCAGUUUUAGGCUAAAAAUAGUAUCGUUGCUGUUGCUGCCACUGUUCCAUGUGGAAAACAUAGUGAAGUGCUUUACAGAAAAGGAAAAAAAAAAUAAUUUUCUGAGUGUAUUCUUAAGAUAGUGUGAAAGCCAUGCUGACAAGGAGCCCCUUAACUGCCAGUGGACUAAGAUUUCCUCCACCAAUUUCAUGGCUUUUAAUAGUUUUCUACCAGUUGGACAGAAAGCAGGAUUCCUCAGAUUCCUUCUACCCAACACAUUGCUUAUAAGAGAGGUGAAGGGCGGAAAAUGAAGAAUUAGACUCAAGGUUGGCAAACUAUAGUUUGUGGGCCAAAUCCAGCACACCACCUGUUUCAUAAAGAAAAGGAAAAAAUUGGAACACAGCCAUUCUCAUUCUUUUGUGCAGUGUCUGCGGCUGCAGAGUUGAGUAGCUGUAACAGAGAUCACAUGGUCUGCAAAGCCUAAAAUACAUACUGCCUGGUUCUUUACAGAAUAGGUUUGUUGACGCCUGAGUUGAGUAUGUGAUAAUGGAUAAUUUAUUCAGACCUCUCAUAAAAAUGAGAAAAAUGGAGAUGCUAAAGUUAUUGGUAGUGAAGGGUUCCAUGUUGGACACUUAGGACAGACUGAAGAAGAGAAAUUGAUGGGCUCUGGCCAACAAGCCUCUCCUGGACUAGGGCAGGGCUAGCAGAUAGGAAUUGCUAGUGGUGUAAUGUCUACAAUGUUCAAUGUACAAGGGAGGCAGAGUCAUGAUUCUAAAAGUUUCUGAUGUGGAGGAGCUCACAGGGAUGGCACUGGGCAUUGAACCAGAGUAGAGGAAUCAGUGCUAGGUACCUGGGUCCCCCAUGUGAGGACAUGGAGAACUAGGUAGAAUUUCCAGCAACAAAGGUGCAUGGACCCUGGGGGCUGGAGCAUAUAAGGUAGUAACUCAGAAUACAAAUCCUGGUACAUGGGGGAAUCCAGAAAUUAGAGCUGGUGAAAUAGCUACAAGCAUGAGGUUCAGUGCGGGUGAAAUGAGUACAUAAAUAAGAAAAAAAUUCUUGAAAUCUGUAUCACUCAGGGUGCCAGUGAGAAACAUAGGGUGCCUUCAAGUGAAGAUAACGUGAGAAGAGUACUAGGGCUCGUCUGUGUGAUGGACAGAAUAUGGCAGAAGUGAUGGUUUGUUACCUUGGAGACUAGGUUAUAAAGAACUGCUUCUGUCUUGGGAUCUUUCUUUCUCCCUGAGACCAUUCUCAAGAAACUCAUACAGGGUGCAUGAAUUCAGGAGAAAUGAUCACUAAUCUCCCAGUCCUCCCAUUUUCCUACCCUUGGCUCAGAGGAGUUGUAGUCAGAGAUGAGAUCUUUUAUAGUCUAGUCUCCCCCUCCCCACCCACUCCCCAUCCCCAGAUUCCCAUCCGUGAAAAUAAAACCAACUUCCUCUUAGCCCUUUUCACUCAAGACAGUAAUGAUAGAAGUGCUGGGGGUGAGAUCCUGGGGAUGGUCCUUUAAGAUGAUUUCUUUUGAAGAGAAAAAGUGUUCUAAGCACUAUUGCCUCAACUAUUUGAUCCUGCUUUGGGGGAAAGUUAAAUAAAUUUGGACACUAUUCUGGCUGGAUUAGGUUGGCCAGCAUGAAGCUAUCCUUUGAAUAAUAAUGCAGUUUGAGCCAAAAAUGCAUUCUCUUUCUGAACCAGAAAAAUUAGAAUGGACUUGAUUUAUAUGUUUCCAAGGGGAUAAAAACUAUCUCCAGAAAACCGUUUUACCUUUUGCAUCCAACUUCCAUUUUUAGAUAAUCACAUACACAAAACCUUAAAACAUUGUGUCUUUUGACUUCCUCAUCUAUGAGUACCAAGUGUCAUGGUACUUGGGAGUCAUUUUCCAAAGUCCACAUUUUAACCACAGAAAUUUAUUUUUGGCUGUGUAUUUAUUCAUUCACUCUUUAAACAUUUACUGAAUAUAUACCACUUGCUUACUUUCAUGCGGCAUCAAGGGCAUAGAAAAAAUAAAUCUCUGCCUUUGAAAGGCUCAAACCAACCUAGGUUGGGGGCAAGUCAGACAUAAAAAAAGAACGUGAUGUGCUGAGAAUGGCAAUAAGAGUGCUUGGAAAGGGUUAUGGGGAUAGUUUUAUAGAAGUUUUUGAUAUUCACAGAAACAUUUUGAUUAUUAUAAUAAUCACUAGUCUAGCCCUUAUAGUCAUGGCUUAGCAUUUUUACUGAAGCAAAAAAGAUUGCUAUAUACUUGGAAUUUCUACAAGAAGAAAAAAUUAUAAAUCUAUUUGUCUCAUUAGGGUGGUAUUUGAAAAUAACCAAAAUUAUAGUUAGAACACAGUUCAAAUACAAAUGCUAAAUGUGUCUCAUAAUUAUUAGACAAUAUUCAGAGCACAGCUUAAACACAUACUGCAUCACCAUAGACUUGUUCUAUUAUCUCAGCAAUAUAUAACCUAAUGGAAUUACUUUCAUAUGAUUUUCUAGGAUCCAAGAUAUCACUGUGGCAUCUAGAGUUUUGGAAAGUUUUAUGUUUAAACAUUGUAUCUAUUACUGGUUUUUAUUAAUUUUGUAUUUUUUAUAUUGAUACUAUAUUCGAACAGCUAGUUCUUUAAAAUAUUUAAUAGCUACUUCUCUCCCGCAAAAUUCAUACAUAGCCAGGCAACAAUACUCAGUUAUUUUGCUGAUAUAGGAUGUGGUUGUUUGUUGGUGGAGAGAGGUGCAAACUUUAGGAAUUGUUCACUGGGUAGGGGGAUGACUGCUAAGGCUGAAAUCUGAAUUUAAGGAGUGUUGAAAAAUAUCUGCAGCCUCUGAGAUUCUUACCAUCAAUUUCUCUCAAAACCAUCUGCAGAUUUGUGCAUAUUAAUUGGCUUCGGGCAUUCUGUUACCUAGGAGGAGUAACACAUUAGAUAGCUAAAAUUAGAAGGAAGGCAAAAAAAAAGUGAAAAUACAAAGCCUGGUUAGCCAAUGUCUGUAGAGCAUUACAGCAGGAGACUCUGACUGCCAAACAGGAGGGGUCCUUAAUCCCUGUGAGGUGUGAGUGGUAAAAAGUGCCUUGGGCAUGUGUUACUGAAAACCUAUGCUACCUCCCACUUGAGUCUGGACCUAAGUAUGAAAGGGUGAGGGUUGGGGUUAUUCGCCAUUCACACUGCCACACAGCUUUAGAGCAAGCUUUUCACUUCGUGGAUUUGAAUACCUCAGUGAUCAGGGUGAUUGUGAGGGGGUGAUGGAGGAACAAAAGGAAAAUUGGAAGGCAGUUGGUUUUCAUCUGUUUUAUUUGUUUAAGCAUGUGGCGGGGGAGGGGGGGGAGUAGCAACAACAGCCAGCCUUUAAAAAACAUCAUAAUAAUGAAAAUGUUAACAACCAAAUUAAUAAAAGUUGCAGAGAGCUUGCUGUGUAAUAGGCACUGUGUGCUGUGUUUUAUGUACAUUAUCUCAUUGAGUGUCACUGGUACUUGCCCCACUCUCCACAAGCAGUAAAAAUCUCUUCCAGAACUGCUGUACACCCUCUUAAUAGCAGCACCAUAAAGGGAUCCCACCUAAUUUGCAAUUCCAAAUGUAUCAAGUCUCCUUGACCUUAUUAGAGCUUUGACAACGUGGGCAUCAGGGGAGGGGCAUGCCUUUCCUCCUCACCCAGGGGCAGGUACAGACAACACUGAUAGUGCAGCCUGUCCAGGCAGCGUUGGAGGAAGGGCCUCAGUACCCUACAACUGACUGAGGGGUCUGCAAAGUUGAGACCUGCACUCACCCCCACCCCCUUUCUCUGUCCCAGGUCCAUCUACUACUUGGAUUCAGAGCCCAUACUCACCUUGGGCUUACACAGUGCCAGGUAGGGGAGAAUGGCUUUCAUGCCUCAAGGCCCUACCAAUGCCAACACCCUGAGAUUCUGGUGAACACUAGUCAUUGUUAUGAAGGGAAAGUGAUGCAAGCAGAUCUGUCUUGGAUGCCUUCCAAGAAGCCUGGUGCCAAGGGGAAGGCUUGAGAAAAAAACGGCAUGGAAGUAGGAGCCCCAAAUAUGGUGAGUGGGGUGAGCUGUUCACUCUAGGGACCUUGCUGCUUUUCAGAAGGACCUGAUCUCUUCUACCUGGUGGGCAGACUCAGACCCAUUGUCCUGUAAACAAAGAGAUGCUGCAGUUCUGCUCUUUUUGAGGAACUGCUGAGUGAAGGAACAGGCCACUAACACCCAGGGCACUUUUGCUUUUUAAACCCCCCCCAUGUCUUUUCUCCUAAACUUUGCUUUUGUGGGUGGUAUUUUGACAUGCUGUUUUCUCUCCUCCAAGUGUGCUUUAGGGUUUGAUCUAAUUGUCCUGCUGUUCUGGUGUCACUUGGCAUUAUUAUUGGGAAGAUGAAUGGGACAGGGGUCAGAGUUCAGCAGGAAGGCAUCUGCUGCCUGCACUGCAUAGUAGAAGUGCUCAGAGGUGAUCUGUAAUGAAAGCUUGGAAGAGAUUUGUACAGAAUAGGCUGUCUUCUAUCCCUCUAAUGCUGGGGUGACCAAAAAGUAGAGGAACCAAAAAUGAACAAACAGGAGGUCAUGAUAUCUUUUCUAGAGGGACCAAAAAUGAACAAACAGGAGGUCAUAAUAUCUUUACAAGGAGUUCCCUGCUUGGGAUGGCUUUUCUUCUGUAGCAGAGAAAAUGGGAGGGAAAGAUGGUGAUCAAAUAUGGAGAAGGUUGAAAACAGAAGCUCUUCAAUGGGUCCUAACCACCAGCUAGUUUUGCUCAUAGAACAAUCUC
rnacentral:lncRNA from 1 species